rnacentral:rRNA from 1 species
AUUGAACGCUGGCGGCAGGCCUUACACAUGCAAGUCGAGCGGAGCGGCGGACGGGUGAGUAAUGCCUAGGAAUCUGCCCGGUAGCGGGGGAUAACGUCCGGAAACGGGCGCUAAUACCGCAUACUAUCAGAUGAGCCGAUGUCGGAUUAGCUAGUUGGUGGGGUAAAGGCCUACCAAGGCGACGAUCCGUAACUGGUCUGAGAGGAUGAUCAGUCACACUGGAACUUAGACACGGUCCAGACUCCUACGGGAGGCAGCAGUGGGGAAUAUGGGACAAUGGGCGAAAGCCUGAUCCAGCCAUGCCGCGUGUAUGAAGAAGGCCUUCGGGUUGUAAAGUACUUUCAGCAGGGAGGCGUUACCCGCAGAAUAAGCACCGGCUAACUCCGUGCCAGCAGCCGCGGUAAUAC